rnacentral:rRNA from 1 species
CCCUUAGAUGUUCUGGGCCGCACGCGCGCUACACUGACGAUGGCAACGAGUUUUUCCUUCGCCGAAAGGUGUGGGUAAUCUUUUGAAACAUCGUCGCGCUGGGGAUAGAUCAUUGCAAUUUUUGAUCUUGAACGAGGAAUUCCUAGUAAGCGCGAGUCAUCAGCUCGCGUUGAUUACGUCCCUGCCCUUUGUACACACCGCCCGUCGCUACUACCGAUUGAAUGGUUUAGUGAGGACUCCUGAUUGGCGCCGCCGCCCCGGCAACGGAGCAGCGGACUGCCGAAAAGUUGUUCAAACUUGAUCAUUUAGAGGAAGUAAAAGUCGUAACA